rnacentral:lncRNA from 1 species
AGUUGACCCUGGAACUGGAGCCUAGAGGAGUUCCUCAGACUGCUUCCUUGAGACGGUCACGUGAUUCCUGCUUAAGAACUCCUAUUUAGAAGACAUCUAGUAAGUCCCUUUGAACAUCUAUGGAGGCCCUAUGGGAGAACAUGGAUGAAAACUGCAAAAGAAGACAAAAACUACAUCUUUCCAAUCCACCUACUGUGGCACCAUUUGAAGAAAGGACCCAAAGGAAGAUUGUGUUGCUAAUGUCUUAGAAGAGCCCGUGGUCUUGCCAUUGCUGCCUGACUAAUUGCUACAAAUAACAGAUGGGAAG